AUCCUCUCAUACUCCCACAUAAGCAACUAAGGGCUUAGCUAAUAUUGUCCAAGCUUGGAAGCUAAGGAGGGGUAGCCUGGUAAAUACUUGAAUGAGACUGGCUGGGAAUUCCAGGUGAUGUAGCUU
rnacentral:rRNA from 1 species